UCAUGUUUUCCUGGACCAGUUGAACAAACUCUAUUUCCUUUAGGUGUCGGAUGUGCUCAGGGAGAUACUCCGCAUGGAAGGCCGCUAAGAACUGCUCCCAAAUGAUUGAUGUAGGCAGGGUGGUCUGCUUGAGCUCCCACCAAUGUCCUGCUUUCCCUACCAGCAUGUAGGAAGCAAGGGCAGCUCUCUGCUCAUGAACUACUCCCAAGGUCUUGAAAGCUCUCUUAGUCUCCGCUAGCUAGUACUGGG
rnacentral:lncRNA from 1 species